CUUCGCGAAAAUAUACGCCAUCAGACUGGGCACGAUCCUCCCACACCUGAUAAGGAAUGAUCAAGUCGGAUUCGUUAGAGGGAGACAAGGGGGGGACAACACGAGAAAGGUCAUCGACAUUAUACAUAGUGUCCACAGCCAACAUACAGAAUGUGUAACGCUCUCACUAGACGCGGAGAAGGCCUUUGACCGCCUGAGCUGGAGGUUCCUGAAAGCAGUCCUGGAUAAGUUUGGGAUGCCGGGGGCAUUCUGCUCGGCGGUGGAGGCCUUAUACAGCAAACCAUCGGCACAGGUAGUCACGGCAGGCUUCACAUCGGAACCGUUUAGCAUCACUAACGGAACGAGGCAGGGAUGCCCACUCUCCCCCUUACUAUAUGGGUUGGCUUUAGAGCCGCUAGCGGAGACAAUACGGGCCAACAGCUCCAUACACGGAGUAACAGUGGGCGACAGGGAAUACAAAAUCAAUUUGUUUGCGGACGAUGUCAUGUUGACACUAACGCAACCCCAAAUUUCACUACCAAA